AUUAAAUGAAAUGCGUAGUGGUGGAGUAGCUGCAGAUGAACUGCCUGACUUAUGGAGAAAAUAAACAUUUAGCUGGCCAAAUAAACAUUGUGUGCCCUUGAGUUGACAUACAAAACCAGAGCGAACUGUUGGGAAAAAAUGGACAUGAGUAUUUCACUGACAGUGGUCAGAAAUAGAAGACAUUUGGAUGCCCAGUGCUAUCUAAAGUGUAAGUACUGUAAGCUAGCUGAGGUGGUUAUUUGCUAACACGUUACUAAAGGCUACAAUAGGCAGGUGGAGGAAUUACUGUGACUGUAUUUGUUGUAAAAGUUUAGUUAAUAUUGCUGUGACAAGUGUUCAUACCUCUAACCAGCAUUAAAACUUAACAACAUAGGGGUGUUUUAACCUAUUUAAAGCUUUUUAUGCACACUCCUAGCUAUAUCUACAUAGGAAGUGACUAAAGGUGAUAUAUUUUUUUAAAAAAAAAAACUUUCUUUGCUUAAUUUAGCAAAUGAAUACACCUAGACAACAGAUUCAGAAAUAAAAGUUAGUAAAAGACUUAGUUUUGACGAGCUAUCAACUCAUUGGGGACACACAAGUGAACUCCAGUCCAGGUUUUCCAAGCAACACCUGCUAACCGAGAAAUUCAAUUAAGGACUCCUCUUCCCACUUGGAGCCGGUCUCCAGGGCAGAUCUUCCGGGCGACUCGCCCUGUAAGAAAUUAGAAAAUGCUACAAUAAAACCCGAAAAACUGAAGAAAAAGAAAUGUGGCAACUUUAAUAAUGAAGGCUCCCACGCUGUCCAGCGUAAACACACACGUCCCCUUAGUUGGAAGUCCGCGAAAGACAGCGAAGUACCACAGAUCAUUCAUGGAAAGCCAUCUUCUAUAUUAAAAAUGCCACUGCUAGUACAACAAAAGAUCUCAUCACUGCGUUUUGGUUAAGACUUGGUUGGCAACCUGCUCCAUUACUGCCCCCCUCCCCUCCACUCUGCAACCAACCCUCCAACCCCCUCCAGGGAGCCUUGGGAGGCAGAGAGCCAUCACCAUGGUGAUCUGAACACAGAUCCCCCACACACCGGUCCAUUGUGACUGGCGUGCGUUGAGUGCCACUGAAGACCUCAGUGAUUCCCACCACCCCUCCGUGCCAGGACUGCUCCUCUCCCUUUGGAUCUAUUAGUUUGAAAUCGUUUGGGUGAUGACUCUUUGAAAGUGGUGGUCAUUCUGGGAUGCCGUGUUCAAAAUGCAACAAAGACCUCUCUUUUAUGCACAAAUGCUAAUUAAAAUUUUUACCCCCCAUCCCCAAGCUGCAGAGGGAAGACUUGGUAGCAAUUUGGCAGAUAAUCAAAUUGCAUUUUAAAUGGAGCCGUUUAAAGAUGACUGGGGUCUGCUCACAGGAAGACACAGUGGCACAAAUUAAGCUCGAAUAAGCUGCUAUGUGCAGGGGGGAACAAUACAACAAAAUUCACAUCACAAUAGGAGGCUGCAUUUAUGUAAAUCGCCAACAUUCAGUGUUUGAUUUAUGUUUUUUUUUUAAUUAGUUAAAAGGAACUCAGGUACACAGUCAGACUUGUUUUCUCCGAAUGCAUGCAUGCAGGAAUUCUGUUUUUCUUUUAAUUAUGAUUUCCCUCUUGCUAAGUGGCAUUUUUUUCAUAACGUGUCCUUACAAUUUGACCAGUUGAGGCAAAAUGCUAAUAAGACGUGAUUUGUUAACAGUUCGGGUACCUUGGAAACAUUUUGUUCUUAAUUUUAGACUUUCAGCCUGACAGAAAAAGCAAACUGGGUGGAAAAUGUUGUCAACAGCUAUGUUUGUCUACAAAAAUCUGCGCUUAGAAGCUGUCCCCCCACAUUUGGUAUACAUCAUUAAGUUCUUCGUGGCCCAUCAAAUUGUCUAUUCACACAGCAUUCCAGUACAUAUUAGUGACAUCUCGUUAGCAGAAAACAGAAAACUGACACAAAAAAUUUGGGAAAUGGGCCUGAAUUGUUUAUCUCUUAGAAUAAGUAGAAAGUGUGAUUCUCAUGAAAUGAUAGAAUUAGAUCAAACGUGCAGCUCUCAAAGCCUCUUUUAUCCUCUCACUUAGUCUCCCUGAAAAGUGAACGCACCAAGUGAUCUAUUCAGUUUUUAACAACAUUCUUAUGCAAGCCACAUUUCCUGUAAAGUUUAACAUUCAUCACAAGACCAAUACAGCCAUCAGAACAGUUUCAUAUCCAUAAAACUCCAUUAUGGACAGCACAACAAGUGAUGCUUGACUUGUAAGUUUAAAGGGUUCUUAAUUGGCUGUGAUUUGCUGGCUGUACAGCAGUGACAGUGGAAGGGGCAUAAUGAUCCUCCUCGGAUGAUGCAUUACUUUUCUGGCAACUUAACGCACCUUAACGCUGCAUGUAUCUGUCCUCUGGUUAAGGGUUGCCUUCAUCUCAGCAUCAUAACAGGCUGACAUGACAAUGGUCUUGACCUGCACACUACAGGUUACACUUGAGUAGAUGUAAUGUUAACCUCCUUCACCUUCUGUACAGAUAUCCACAUCCAGACAAAAGUCCCUUGAGAUCUUUUACAAUGAUCCCCCAAGGCAGUUUCCCUGUUUUCACUUUAGAUUUGUGGUUGAAAGCAGCUGAAUACAUUUAUAGAAGUAUGAAGCUCCAAAGCAGCUCUGCCUUCCAGUAUCUGAUGCUUAUCACUGAAGAAUUUAUCAGUAAAGUUGAUGAGAAAAAACAAACAAACAACAUUUUAAUGUUCUUUUCUGUUUUUAUAAUAUUACCCUUUGAGUUUGACUAACCAUGUUAAUUUUGGUUAAGGUUGGAUUAUUAUCAUGAACUCUUUCAAACUGCCUUUUUUUGACCAAAUAUUUUCAUCAUGAAAUGAAUAACUGUAUGGGCUAUGCAUUUUAACUGUCUGAGAACUGCAGUAAUAUAAAGUCCAUUUCUAAUAAUGCUGCAUUUAAAAAGCUGUAAAAUGUCUUCAAUUUGUUUAUUUACAAAACUAAUCUGUAUCUACAAGUCUGCAUCUUUUUUUAUUAUAUUAUUAAAAAGCACAAAAUAGAUUUUUGGCAAAAAGCAACAGAAAAGGGAAGGCAUCCUAAUUGGAGCAACACAGUCUCUGUCUUAUGAUGCUGAAUGACAAAUAUUGUUGCAAAGUUAAUGACACAAGAGGGAUUUGAUUGAUCAAGUGGGUGACUGAUCAUAAAACUGCAGUCAAUAUUUGGCUGUAGCUUUAUUUCCCCUCUGAACAACAGUGUGCCAGGAUGUCUGAGAUGUAUGGCUAGACACACAGCAGUGGCAAAACACAUAUUUACACUUCAGUCUCUCUGAGCAGGAUGAUGCUGCCUCUGUUUGUCAUACAGGAAAUAAUAUCCCAUGAUGCUAAAAUGAACAGUCUUAGAGUAUUUAUUCAGAUGGAGCAAAGGGUAUUGGUUAAAGCUGACCAAUUUUAGAGUAGUUGGGAUGAAAAUCUCCCUCUAAUUACUGGACUGUGUGGAUCCUCUGGUCCCAGUCCCUCUGCUGCAAAUGAUGGUAUUAAAAAGUCUCUUUUAUUUAUAGAAAUAAAAUUUUAGCUUCAGAGACAAUAGGCUAGCUCUUUUUUACGGUACAGCAGACUUUAUCUUUUUAAUAAAAAAUCCUGACUUGGUGAAAGUUUAAUUAAUAAGGGACUUAAAGCUAGGGGAAUGAGCAAGGGAGUUGGG